rnacentral:rRNA from 1 species
UGAGGCUUAACACAUGCAAGUCGAGGGGCAGCAUGGUCUUAGCUUGCUAAGGCCGAUGGCGACCGGCGCACGGGUGAGUAACGCGUAUCCAACCUGCCUUACACUCUUGGACAGCCUUCUGAAAGGGAGAUUAAUACAAGAUGUUAUCAUGAGUAAGCAUUUUCGCAUGAUUAAAGGUUUACCGGUGUAAGAUGGGGAUGCGUUCCAUUAGAUAGUAGGCGGGGUAACGGCCCACCUAGUCUUCGAUGGAUAGGGGUUCUGAGAGGAAGGUCCCCCACAUUGGAACUGAGACACGGUCCAAACUCCUACGGGAGGCAGCAGUGAGGAAUAUUGGUCAAUGGACGAGAGUCUGAACCAGCCAAGUAGCGUGAAGGAUGAAGGUUCUAUGGAUUGUAAACUUCUUUUAUACGGGAAUAAACGAAUCCACGUGUGGAUUUUUGCAUGUACCGUAUGAAUAAGGAUCGGCUAACUCCGUGCCAGCAGCCGCGGUAAUACGGAGGAUCCGAGCGUUAUCCGGAUUUAUUGGGUUUAAAGGGAGCGUAGAUGGGUUGUUAAGUCAGUUGUGAAAGUUUGCGGCUCAACCGUAAAAUUGCAAUUGAUACUGGCAGUCUUGAGUACAGUUGAGGUAGGCGGAAUUCGUGGUGUAGCGGUGAAAUGCUUAGAUAUCACGAAGAACUCCGAUUGCGAAGGCAGCUUACUAACCUGUAACUGACAUUGAUGCUCGAAAGUGUGGGUAUCAAACAGGAUUAGAUACCCUGGUAGUCCACACGGUAAACGAUGAAUACUCGCUGUAGGCGAUAUACAGUCUGCGGCCAAGCGAAAGCAUUAAGUAUUCCACCUGGGGAGUACGCCGGCAACGGUGAAACUCAAAGGAAUUGACGGGGGCCCGCACAAGCGGAGGAACAUGUGGUUUAAUUCGAUGAUACGCGAGGAACCUUACCCGGGCUUAAAUUGCAACCGAAUAUGGCGGAAACGCUAUAGCUAGCAAUAGCGGUUGUGAAGGUGCUGCAUGGUUGUCGUCAGCUCGUGCCGUGAGGUGUCGGCUUAAGUGCCAUAACGAGCGCAACCCUUGCCGAUAGUUACUAACAGGUCAUGCUGAGGACUCUGUCGGGACUGCCAUCGUAAGAUGUGAGGAAGGUGGGGAUGACGUCAAAUCAGCACGGCCCUUACGUCCGGGGCUACACACGUGUUACAAUGGGGGGUACAGAGGGCUGCUACCACGCAAGUGGAUGCCAAUCCCAAAAACCUCUCUCAGUUCGGAUUGAAGUCUGCAACCCGACUUCAUGAAGCUGGAUUCGCUAGUAAUCGCGCAUCAGCCACGGCGCGGUGAAUACGUUCCCGGGCCUUGUACACACCGCCCGUCAAGCCAUGGGAGCCGGGGGUACCUGAAGUGCGUAACCGCAAGGAGCGCCCUAGGGUAAAACUGGUGACUGGGGC